rnacentral:rRNA from 1 species
GACGAACGCUGGCGGCGUGCUUAACACAUGCAAGUCGAACGGUGAAGCGCCUUCCUUUUUGGUGGGUGUGGAUGAGUGGCGAACGGGUGAGUAACACGUGAGUAACCUGCCCCCUUCUUCUGGAUAACCGCAUGAAAGUGUGGCUAAUACGGGAUAUUCUGGGUCUGUCGCAUGAUGGGUCUGGGAAAGAUAUUGUUUCGGUGGGGGAUGGGCUCGCGGCCUAUCAGCUUGUUGGUGGGGUGAUGGCCUACCAAGGCGGUGACGGGUAGCCGGCCUGAGAGGGUGGACGGUCACACUGGGACUGAGACACGGCCCAGACUCCUACGGGAGGCAGCAGUGGGGAAUAUUGCACAAUGGGCGCAAGCCUGAUGCAGCGACGCCGCGUGAGAGAUGGGGGCCUUCGGGUUGUGAACCUCUUUCGCCAGUGAAGCAGGCCUGCCUCGUUUGUGGGUGGGUUGACGGUAGCUGGAGAAGAAGCGCCGGCUAACUACGUG